AUCUCCAAAAUUUAUGACUUUUUUGGGUUGUAUCUUUUGUGAAUUUGUCUGAACUAACACGGGUUUAAUUUCUUGGAUUGAAUUAGUGUCAGAGUUUGUUUCUUUUUAUUAUUUGUCUGAUGAACGUGUUCCUGCAUUCGAUUUUGCUAUUUUGACUGUGGGCUUAAAACAUUGAAUUCCUUACAAAAUAGUGGAGGUAAACAAAUAGUAUGUCCUAAAUGGGCUGGAAUUGAUAUGUUUACUGAGCAGAUCAAGUUUAAAAAAAAAGGUUAGAACAACCCAAAUAUACUUUUUUAUUGGAUUAUUGAAUCGAUUAAAAUUUAAUUAGUUUAAUCUAUGGACUCGGUUUUAUAAUGGAUCAGCUAGUUAUUACUAGUUGAGGUUGGAAUCAUGUCCAAGUUAUAGACACGGAACGUGCUGUGAUAAUUUUUCUUUAUCUUUCUAGUUGUUUUUUUAUCUUUCUUUAUCAAUUCAUGGACACGUAUGCAGUAGUAAUCUGCACCUGCCUGAAAUGCAUGCUGUUAAGUGUCAAAUAUAUCUGCUGAAGAAUGAUGUUUUUGAAUGCUUUUUUGUUAUGUUCUUCGCGUCUCGUUAUCAUGUUUCAAUUUGUAGGGUUCUUGUGUUUCCCUUUAAAAGAAGGGUUUCGGUUAUAAUGUAGUGUUCGUUUGGCUGUUUGUGUGAUUUUUUUUAUUUUUCUUAUGGAACUGUCACAUGUUUAUAUGCACAUGAGAUUGGCUUGUUUAUGUGUUCUUCAUUUGCAGUUUAGGGUUGCAUGUACACACGAUCCAAAUGUCUGGUUGCCUAUAAACUGUCAGGAAUAUUGAGCUGUGGAACAUGAAGAGACUGAAUUGAGAAACUGGGUGCUGCCUGUGGCAGUGAUACCAGCAUAAUUGUUCCUCUGAUACGUCCCAGAAUUCAAAUUUCACAAGUGAUGAAGAUGUAUAAGGUGAAUUCUUGCAUUCAAUUUGGCUGCUCACUUGAGAUUGUCGUGGAUAAAUCACAAGAGGGAUCAUAAUUUUGAAUAAGAUAUGGUUGCGCUGGGGGAAUUCAUACAUGUCAGUGAAGGAUGCCCAAUGCAACAAUAUCUUCAUCAAAAUUUAAGAAGAGUCUGAGGAAGUUCCAGGGAACUUUGCAUUAGAGGACAGCGAUCUCUGCACUUGAUGUUGGCUGUGGAACUUGAUGCUUCAAUAAGGAAUUUGGCGUUUCGUUGUAUUGAAGACAUGGGAAUUUCUAAGAAGCCUUACAUCACAGGAAAUUUCCAUCUAGUGUAACAAAAGAAGGAAAAUAUUAUAGCCUCCCUGGUCUAAUCUGAAAAGGGAAUGAUGAAAUCAGUAGUUUAGACAAUCAGAGGAAUGCAGCAGGGCAAAUUGCAGAUCAGUUAGGAGUAAAGCUAAAGUUUUCAGGGACAAGAGGAUGUAGUUACCGCCAUAUUGAUAUGUUAAGGUUCUAUCAUGAGAGGUCACUCAUAUCAUAAGCUGGUGAUCUUUAAUGACUAUGAAGACGGAGGGAGGGAGGAAUUUAGAGUUGUUUUCCAUACACAAUGAUACUUGAUUUAAUUAAGAGUUGAAUCAGCAGAUCUGAGGAUGCUUACAUGGACUUUAGCUUUGCAAAGAUGUCUUGGAAUUCGCUUGAAGCAGAUGAUACUAAUUCAGCAGUUCUUGCUGAAGUGCAGCAGCUAAUUAAUCGCUUGUUCUACUUUAUAUAAAUCUCUACGUUUUCAGAGCUACAGCUUUCAGGGUCUUCAAGUGGAAUUUGGAUGGUCAUGCUGUCAGUCAUACAAAGUAGUAGAACUCAUGAUUCUUGUUUACAUAAAGUUCACAAUUUGAUAAUAUAUAAGGUUGUGUUUGAUUA